rnacentral:rRNA from 2 species
UGACCUCAAAUCGGGUGAGACUACCCGCUGAACUUAAGCU